GGCUUGUUGGUCUAGGGAUAUGAUUCUCGCUUUGAAAGCGAGAGGUCCUGGGUUCCAAUCCCGGGCGAGCCC